UACGUAGGUGGCAAGCGUUGUCCGGAAUCAUUGGGCGUAAAGAGCGUGUAGGCGGCCCGGUAAGUCCGCUGUGAAAGUCCAGGGCUCAACCCUGGGAUGCCGGUGGAUACUGUCGGGCUCGAGUCCGGAAGAGGAGUGUGGAAUUCCUGGUGUAGCGGUGAAAUGCGCAGAUAUCGAGGAGGAACACCAAUGGCGAAGGCAGCACUCUGGGACGUGACUGACGCUGAGACGCGAAAGCGUGGGGAGCAAACAGG
rnacentral:rRNA from 1 species